AUGAAGCGCAAGAGCAGGCGGACCAAGGCAUACACGGCGGACAAGGACAAGCUCCUUUGUGAGUGUUGGAGGGACAUUGGGCAAGACCCUAAGACCGGCGCCAAACAAAAGGCAUCAACCUUUUGGACUCGCGUCCAUCAUGAGUUCCAUGAGUGCAAGAAGUUUCCACCAUACCUAAUGCAAAGCAUGCACGGAUGGGUGUCCAUUUUGAAGCAUUGGAAGGUGAUCCAACAAGAGUGCAACAAGUUUUUGUGCCACUCUUGAGGCAUCAAGGAAAGCCCCGUGAGCGGCAUUGACAUGCAAGACAUGGUAUGCUAG
rnacentral:rRNA from 1 species